rnacentral:rRNA from 1 species
GAGUUUGAUCGUGGCUCAGAUUGAACGCUGGCGGCAGGCCUAACACAUGCAAGUCGAGCGGUAGAGAGAAGCUUGCUUCUCUUGAGAGCGGCGGACGGGUGAGUAAUGCCUAGGAAUCUGCCUGGUAGUGGGGGAUAACGCUCGGAAACGGACGCUAAUACCGCAUACGUCCUACGGGAGAAAGCAGGGGACCUUCGGGCCUUGCGCUAUCAGAUGAGCCUAGGUCGGAUUAGCUAGUUGGUGAGGUAAUGGCUCACCAAGGCGACGAUCCGUAACUGGUCUGAGAGGAUGAUCAGUCACACUGGAACUGAGACACGGUCCAGACUCCUACGGGAGGCAGCAGUGGGGAAUAUUGGACAAUGGGCGAAAGGCCUGAUCCAGCCAUGCCGCGUGUGUGAAGAAGGUCUUCGGAUUGUAAAGCACUUUAAGUUGGGAGGAAGGGCAGUAAAUUAAUACUUUGCUGUUUUGACGUUACCGACAGAAUAAGCACCGGCUAACUCUGUGCCAGCCGCCG